rnacentral:rRNA from 1 species
UACAGAGGUCUCGAGCGUUGUUCGGAUUCAUUGGGCGUAAAGGGUUCGUAGGCGGUGUGGCAAGUCGGGAGUGAAAUCCCUGGGCUUAACCCAGGGGCUGCUUCCGAAACUGCUGUGCUUGAGUGUGGGAGAGGCGCGUGGAAUUGCAGGUGUAGCGGUGAAAUGCGUAGAUAUCUGCAGGAACACCCGUGGCGAAAGCGGCGCGCUGGACCACUACUGACGCUGAGGAGCGAUAGCUAGGGGAGCAAACAGG